GACGAAGGAUGCAAGCGUUAUCCGGAUUCAUUGGGUUUAAAGGGAGCGUAGGCGGAUUUGUAAGUCAGUGGUGAAAUCUCCGGGCUCAACCCGGAAACUGCCAUUGAUACUGCAGGUCUAGAGUACAGUUGCCGUUGGCGGAAUAUGACAUGUAGUGGUGAAAUACUUAGAUAUGUCAUAGGACACCGAUUGCGAAGGCAGCUAACGAAGCUGUAACUGACGCUGAGGCUCGAAAGUGCGGGGAUCAAACAGG
rnacentral:rRNA from 1 species